CGGCUAACCAGUCUCCAAGCAAGCAAACCCUAAAUACAGAUAUAUUUUUCAAACUGACAUAAAGGCUCAGAUCUGUUUUUAGGUCGGGCGAAAAGAGAGUCCAGCAAUGCCAUGGAUGCAAAAACAACCAGAAAAUCUGGGAGCAUGCUCUGUCAAGAUACGGGUCAGAUAAUCUCAAAUGCCCGGUUAAUCAGUUCAAAGGGGAUGAAAAUUCAACAAAAUCAUCAUUGCCUUUUACAAACUAUUGAUGAUACUCGCCACGUACACCGCCAAAAUUCAAUGGUCCAGCAGAAGCAUUUACAAAAGAGAGAAUAGAUGGCAUUAGCAUGCAUAGCAUGAAAGGAUAUGAAACCCUUAAUAGUACUCCCUCAGUAAGAUUGAUAAAAAGGCUGUUGAGAUUCUUACAUUGAUUGGACUCACCACCAUCGUUUCUACCAGUCCCACCAGCAGCAUUCAAUGCUCCAG
rnacentral:misc_RNA from 1 species